UAAAGGUUUGGUCCCAGCCUUCCUAUUAGUUGUUAGCAAAAUUACACAUGCAAGUAUCCGCAUUCCUGUGAGAAUACCCUCGCAAAUCAUCUAUGAUUAAAAGGAGUAGGUAUCAAGCACACUCUUAUCGAGUAGCUUACGACACCUUGCUUAGCCACACCCCCACGGGUAACAGCAGUGAUAAGAAUUAAGCAAUAAACGAAAGUUUGACUAAGUUAUGUUAACAUUAGGGUUGGUAAAUUUCGUGCCAGCCACCGCGGUCAUACGAUUAACCCAAAUUAAUAGGCAACGGCGUAAAGCGUGUUAAAGAGUGCUCAACACAUAAAUAAAGAUAAAACUUAACUAUUGCUGUAGAAAGCAACAGUUAAAACUAAAAUACACUACGAAAGUGACUUUAUUAUAUCUGAUUACACGAUAGCUAAGAUCCAAACUGGGAUUAAAUACCCCACUAUGCUUAACCCUAAACUUAGGUAUUUAAUCUAACAAAAAUACCCGCCAGAGAACUACUAGCAAUAGCUUAAAACUCAAAGGACUUGGCGGUGCUUUAUAUCCCUCUAGAGGAGCCUGUUCUGGAAUCGAUAAACCCCGAUAAACCUCACCACCCCUUGCUAAUCCACCUUAUAUACCGCCCUAUUCAGCAAACCCUAAAAAGGCAUAAUAGUAAGCACAAGUAUAGGACAUAAAAACGUUAGGUCAAGGUGUAGCUUAUGAGGUGGGAAGAAAUGGGCUACAUUUUCUAUUAAUUAGAACACUUACGAAAGUUAUUAUGAAACUAAUAACUAAAGGAGGAUUUAGUAGUAAGUUAAGAAUAGAGUGCUUAACUGAAUUAGGCCAUGAAGCACGCACACACCGCCCGUCACCCUCUUCAAGUACUUUAAACUACACCCAAUUUAUAAUUAUAAGUUAUCCAGUAUUAGAAGAGAUAAGUCGUAACAAGGUAAGCAUACUGGAAAGUGUGCUUGGACGAAU
rnacentral:ncRNA from 2 species